rnacentral:lncRNA from 1 species
AUGUGGCUGACCUUGUUGCAGGCCUAUUUGCUGUUGCUGACCUUGUUGCGGGCCUUUUUGCUGUUGCUGACUUGGGAACUGGACUCCCUGAGGUGGCUGACCUUGUUGCGAGCCUUUUUGCUGUUGCUGACCUUGUUGCGGGCCUUUUUGCUGUUGUUGACCUUGUUGUGGGCCUUUCUGCUGUUGCUGACCUUGUUGCGGGCCUUUUUGCUGUUGCUGACUUGGGAACUGGACUCCCUGAGGUGGCUGACCUUGUUGCGAGCCUUUUGCUGUUGCUGACCUUGAUGCGGGCCUUUUUGCUGCUGCUGACCUUGUUGCGGGCCUUUUUGCUGUGUGUUGACCUUGUUGUGGUUGCUGACUAGAGAACUGGACUCCCUGAGGUGGCGGACCUUGAUAAGGACCACUUUGGGGUGGCUGACCUCUACCAUGAGAACUCUGUUGACCAUCAUGCUGACCUCUGCCUACAGAACCUGAAUGGUACUGUUGACCAGGCUGGCCUCUUCCUACAGAGCCUGAAGGGUACUGUUGACCAGGCUGGCCUCUUCCUACAGAACCUGAAUGGUACUGUUGACCAGGCUGGCCUCUGCCCACAGAACCUGAAUGAUACUGUUGACCAGACUGACCCCUGCCCACAGAACCUGAAUGAUACUGUUGACCAGACUGACCCUGCCAACAGAGCUCUGUUCAGGCUGACUUGGCUGCUGAGCUCUUGCAGGUUGUUGACCAUCAGAAGUCGCUGGAUCUCCUUGAGAUGGGCCAGACUGCUGUUUCCCUGAAAUAAAUACAAAAACAGUUACUUACUCAUGGCUGAUGCUGCAUAGGCCUAUUCAUUUGUUUUGUCUGUUUAUUUGUUAGCUACUUUAAAUGGCUGCAAGGGCUGAUGUUGCGCUUCCAUCCCACCUUAACAACCCCAACCUCAGGCAGUCCUUGCAUCAGACCAUUAAGCUCAAAACGUUUGAAUUUGAAUCAAACCCUGAUAUUCUUACUCAAAGAGCAAUAAGUGCUACAACUAGGAACUUAUGCAGGAAUUUACCCAAGAACUCCUGGCUGAAUCUACUUUUUCAGGAAUUUUGAAAGUACAUUUAUACACUGUAAUCACUCACACGUUGAAGAGCCACAAGGAAAAUUCCUGUAGAUUCCAGAUUCUUAUUCCUGGCACUCAACCUCUGUGAGAAAUUUUGAUUCCUAGUUAUGGAAUCAUCAGAUAUAAUUUUUCAAUAGUAGGUACUUAAAAAAUACCCUAAUUUCUUAGGUUCAUGAGAGAGUCAAUAAAUGCAGAGAAAUGAUGGAAACUCAGGAUGAAAUUUUUCAAAGAUGUCGACAAGGUCUAAUUGUAAUUUAAACAUCUAAAAUUUUACAUUAGAAAGUAUAUAAUACGUCUAUUUCAUUGUUACUUACUGGUGAUUUUAGGGGCCGUCCAUAAUUUACAUCACCCAUUUUUUUCAAUUUUAUGACUUCCCCCUCCCUCACCUUGUCCAACCGUCAUCCACUGCUAAGACCUCUCUCUUAAAGUUAUGUCAUCCUUAGCGUGCCUCCCCCCCCCCCUCUUCAUAGGGGCAAAACGCAGGAAUUCUAUAGAUAUAGUCUGCAACGUUAAGAACAUGAUUCAUUUCUUUUCUUGAGUAUUAAAUAUAUGUUGUGUUCUUUUGAAAUGGAAAAUAAUUACGGCCACAAUAUAUUACUAGCUGAAAAAUUAAACAUCGUAAAUUUUAUUCCUUUCAGAAGACUUGGAAUCAUUAUUGAACAAAUUUUAAAAAUUGAGUAAAAUAAAAUAGAAAAUCAAACUUCAAGCGAGCAUUUUGCGUCUUUUUUUCUUCAGGAGAGCUUACGUCAUCCUUUAUUUGACCCCUCCUUCGUCCACUGUCAUCAACCGCUAGAUAAACUCACCCCCAUACUUGGUGACAUAAUUUAUGGACGGCCCCUUAGGGAGCUCUUUAAACAAACUGGAAAAAAGAUUUGUGAUAAUAUUUUUCUAAUUCUUGAUCUAGCAAAAGUGAUGGUGAAAACAUCCAAUACAAAAAUCUUGAGUUUUGAAAGGUAAAAAUAGAGAUCAGUUACUUUUCUAUCUGAAUUUCAAGUUCAAAAUUAUGUAAAGUAAGUUAAGACAACUGUACCUUUCUUUCCUUUCCCCAUUUUUCAUUGAUUUGUACUUGAUUCUGAACCUGGAAAUAGAAUGAAGAAUAUUAAACUAAGCAAAUCAUACCAUUUAAGAAGAUUUUUCUACUCCAAAAAGCAAUUUAAACCCCCCCCCCCCCCCUUCAAAAGAGAAAAUGGCGCAUCUCUGAGGUAGGAAAUUUGGGCAUUGAACAUGCGGCAAAUAAGUUGACAGCUGUUUACUUCCCAUUUGGAGGCAGCUGCAUGAGCUCCCAGUAUCCGAUUGCGAUAAAGAAUUGACCAUGGGCGUUAUCAUUGCUGUGUAAAGGUGUAUGUAUAAAACUGCUAACUUGUGUGACAAUACGUCUGAUGUGUUUCCUCUUAGGUAUGAGAAUUUCUGUUGGGCAGAAGAUUGCACCAGCAGCAACCUGAUUAAAUGUCAAAAUCAUUGAUUCUCGUCUGCUCUAAGGGGCGUUUAAACUCACUUCCACUCAUUUCAGUAUGAAUUGUGGUGCUAGAGUAAUAAGAAUCUGUAGAUCUGAAGUUAUGAAAACAUCUUCUUCUUUAAAAACCGACGACUGGUGAAGAUCAAGACGUCACAUCUGAAAGUGACCUCAGCAAGUCAUGGCACCUUCUACAGAAAUAUGACAUCAUUGACAACAGUUUAAAACUCGGAAGAGGUUCGGUACUCGGGCUUAUUUUUAGACCCAUCAACAGUACUCCCUACGCAGUUCAGUACUCGGGCUUCUUAAUUUAAACUUAUUUAGAAGAACAUACGAUGCCUGCAAUCAAUCACAAACACAUUUUGAAUGAAAUAUACUUUGCCGAGAUGGUUUCCGGAGUUCACGUUGCAGCGCACUCUGGGGUCAGAAUUUGAAUUCCAGAUAUUUCGAAAACAGUUACUUCUAUUGCAAAAAUAUUGAAAAUUUAAGGGCUUAACCCGAA